GACGAACGCUGGCGGCGUGCCUAAUACAUGCAAGUCGAACGCAGUGGGGACGGGUGAGUAACACGUGGGUAACCUCCCAUCAGAGGGGAUAACACUUGGAAACAGGUGCUAACCCGAUAUGGAUGGAUGGACUCGCGGUGCAUUAGCUAGUUGGUGGGGUAACGGCUCACCAAGGCCACGAUGCAUAGCCGGCCUGAGAGGGUGACCGGCCACACUGGGACUGAGACACGGCCCAGACUCCUACGGGAGGCAGCAGUAGGGAAUCUUGGACAAUGGGCGAAAGUCUGACCGAGCAACGCCGCGUGAGUGAAGAAGGUUUUCGGAUCGUAAAGCUCUGUUGUUAGAGAGGCGGUAUCUACCCAGAAAGCCACGGCUAACUACGUGCCAGCAGCCGCGGUAAUAC
rnacentral:rRNA from 1 species